rnacentral:rRNA from 1 species
UUUAAAUUGAGAGUUUGAUCCUGGCUCAGGAUGAACGCUGGUGGCGUGCCUAAUACAUGCAAGUCGUACGCUAGCCGCUGAAUUGAUCCUUCGGGUGAAGUGAGGCAAUGACUAGAGUGGCGAACUGGUGAGUAACACGUAAGAAACCUGCCCUUUAGUGGGGGAUAACAUUUGGAAACAGAUGCUAAUACCGCGUAACAACAAAUCACACAUGUGAUCUGUUUGAAAGGUCCUUUUGGAUCGCUAGAGGAUGGUCUUGCGG